GGCAGAUUGGAGAGUACACGUGGGAACGUGCCCUUCAGUUCGGAACAACCCAGGGAAACUUGGGCUAAUACCGGAUACGUCCGUAAGGAGAAAGAUUUAUCGCUGAAGGAUCGGCCCGCGUCUGAUUAGCUUGUUGGUGAGGUAACGGCUCACCAAGGCGACGAUCAGUAGCUGGUCUGAGAGGAUGAUCAGCCUCACUGGGACUGAGACACGGCCCAGACUCCUACGGGAGGCAGCAGUAGGGAAUAUUGGACAAUGGGCGCAAGCCUGAUCCAGCCAUGCCGCGUGGGUGAUGAAGGCCCUAGGGUUGUAAAGCCCUUUCGGCGGGGAAGAUCAUGACGGUACCCGCAGAAGAGGCCCCGGCUAACUUCGCGCCAGCAGACGCGGUAAUACGAACGGGGCUAGCGUUGCUCGGAAUCACUGGGCGUAAAGCGCACGU
rnacentral:rRNA from 1 species